GGGGUUGUGGCUUAGAGGUAGAGCACUCACCUAGCAUGUGUGAGGCCCUGGGUUCGAUACUCAGCACCCCA
rnacentral:tRNA from 1 species